CCAGAUCCCAGAAUUAAAGACUUUAUUUUCAUUAUAAAUAUGACUUACCAAUGUAUAUGAAGGGAGCCUGUCAACUUAUUAGAGCACUGGUUCAUCACAGGUUUUGACAACAGGAGUGUGAGCAAUGACAAAAAGGCCUGGAGAUUAAAAAGAUGGCUCUGCUGCUCCACAACAUGUCUCAGAAUCUCCUUUCUUGAAAUCACAGAGCUUGUAGUCUGGUCUAGUCUAAGACAAGAAAAUAAUCAACUAUAAUAGAAAUGUAUAAGCACCAUAGUAACACAAGAAGAAGAUGCCUUUGGAACAUGUAGAGGAGAUAUCUACGUACAUUAUGUGAGAGUGAAGAAAUCUGUGCUGAUGGAACAUACACCUGAGCUGGUACCAAGAGUGGUGUGAUGGUACAGAUACUAAGAUGAGAUGCAGGAGUGAAUCACAUAUCAAUUGGCUAGUGAUGACGACUCCAUCACUGAUGGUAGCUGGAACAUGCAUACCUCCUUGCACAAAGGGCUCUCAGCUGACUGAAAAGGAAAGGAUGGCUUAGUAUGUGGAUAAGCCAAAACACAACUGUUCCAAAACAUCCCCACACAAGGAUAGCUUUGAAAGACAGCAAUUUGGAAAGAUCACUGAUAUGGGCAAAGUUUUACACAGAGUGGAAAGAGAAGUGGCCAAUGGUUAGUAUAUAUACAAACUCAUGGGCAGUGACAGACAUCUUAGCUAACUGAUCUAAAAGAAAACAUUGUCAGUAAACAUGAAUUACCAGCUUUCUACAUGUUGCUCUGGUAUUGACAAUCCUGAGGAUUACUGUACUUAUACCCAGAACAAUAUUUGCUGGAGUCCAAUUUAUCAGUUCUCAGGAUGAGUUCUUUGCUGAAAUGACGGCAUACACAAUUCACACAAUUUUAAGGGUGCUGAUU